AACGAACGCUGGCGGCAGGCUUAACACAUGCAAGUCGAGCGCCCCGCAAGGGGAGCGGCAGACGGGUGAGUAACGCGUGGGAACGUACCUUUUGCUACGGAAUAACUCAGGGAAACUUGUGCUAAUACCGUAUGUGCCCUUCGGGGGAAAGAUUUAUCGGCAAAGGAUCGGCCCGCGUUGGAUUAGCUAGUUGGUGAGGUAAAGGCUCACCAAGGCGACGAUCCAUAGCUGGUCUGAGAGGAUGAUCAGCCACACUGGGACUGAGACACGGCCCAGACUCCUACGGGAGGCAGCAGUGGGGAAUAUUGGACAAUGGGCGCAAGCCUGAUCCAGCCAUGCCGCGUGAGUGAUGAAGGCCCUAGGGUUGUAAAGCUCUUUCACCGGUGAAGAUAAUGACGGUAACC
rnacentral:rRNA from 1 species